CAGCAAUGAUCAGGCAACAGUUAAGCAGGGUGGACGAACAACAGUGAGCUUGUUAAGUGGUAAGUCUAAGCUAAGCUAAGUUAGCUAGCUAUUCAAUGGGGUUUAUGCACAGCUAGUGCUUUUCCAUUUCAUAAGGUUCCUUUUACAGCAUUGAUGAUGUAAUGUAAUGAACUGUGUUUAUAUAUAAUACUGUACAUAAAUACUAAUAUUUGUUUGCUUCAUUUUUCAGAUCAAAGAAAACGUUUGCAGUAUUUUCCCACUAAAGAGGAGCAGUUUAUUGAGGCAGAUUUUGAUAAAGAGAAUGGGUGCCAUACAUCAGACCUCACAUUAAAUCAGGGAUGAAUCGAGAGAUGUCGUCCUCUGUUGCUGGUCUAUCUGUAUAAAUAAGAUGAAGAGCUCAUCCAGGAGUGCAAUUGUGGGAAUGCACAGAGAAUUGUUGUCUGUCAGAGGGAUGACCAACCAUGAGGACUUCUGCAUUGUCUUGGAGGAU